UGCGUAGGCAGCGAGCGUUGUUCGGAGUUACUGGGCGUAAAGAGUGCGUAGGCGGUGGCCCAAGUCUGGUGUGAAAUCUCCCGGCUUAACCGGGAGGGUGCGCCGGAAACUGGGGUCGCUUGAGUACUGGAGAGGCAAGCGGAAUUCCUGGUGUAGCGGUGAAAUGCGCAGAUAUCAGGAGGAACACCAAUGGCGAAGGCAGCUCGCUGGGACGGUACUGACGCUGAGGCGCGAAAGCGUGAGGAGCAAACAGG
rnacentral:rRNA from 1 species